rnacentral:rRNA from 1 species
UCGCCCUUAGGAGUUUGAUCCUGGCUCCAGACGGACGCUGGGCGGCGUGCCUAACACAUGCAAGUCGAGCGAAAGAACAGGGAGAUAGCUUGCUAUCGACUGUUUACUUAGCGGCGGACGGGUGAGUAACGCGUGGGGAAUCUGCCUCAAGCAGAGGAAUACNACAGGGAAGCUUGUGCUAAUGCCUCAUAAGACCACAUAAUGGCAUCAUUAAGUGAUCAAAGGUAAAACCGGCUUGAGAGGAGCCCGCGUCUGAUUAGCUAGUUGGUAAGGUAAAGGCUUACCAAGGCGACGAUCAGUAGCCGAACUGAGAGGUUGAUCGGCCACAUUGGGACUGAGACACGGCCCAGACUCCUACGGGAGGCAGCAGUGGGGAAUAUUGCACAAUGGGGGGAACCCUGAUGCAGCAACGCCGCGUGAAGGAAGAAGGCCUUAGGGUUGUAAACUUCUUUGACCAGGGAAGAAAAAAAUGACGGUACCUGGAAAACAAGCCACGGCUAACUACGUGCCAGCAGCCGCGGUAAUACGUAGGUGGCGAGCGUUGUCCGGAUUUACUGGGUGUAAAGGGCGUGUAGGCGGGCAUGUAAGUCAGAUGUGAAAUACCGGGGCUCAGCUCCGGGGCUGCAUCUGAAACUGCAUAUCUUGAGUGUUGGAGGGGAAAGUGGAAUUCCUAGUGUAGCGGUGAAAUGCGUAGAUAUUAGGAGGAACACCAGUGGCGAAGGCGGCUUUCUGGCCAAACACUGACGCUGAGGCGCGAAAGCGUGGGGAGCAAACAGGAUUAGAUACCCUGGUAGUCCACGCCGUAAACGAUGAUAACUCGCUGUCGGCGAUACACAGUCGGUGGCCAAGCGAAAGCAUUAAGUUAUCCACCUGGGGAGUACGACCGCAAGGUUGAAACUCAAAGGAAUUGACGGGGACCCGCACAAGCAGCGGAGCAUGUGGUUUAAUUCGAUGCAACGCGAAGAACCUUACCAGGGCUUGACAUAUAUGCGCUAGCACUAGAGAUAGUGGGUUCUCUUCGGAGACGCAUAUACAGGUGGUGCAUGGUUGUCGUCAGCUCGUGUCGUGAGAUGUUGGGUUAAGUCCCGCAACGAGCGCAACCCAUAUUUCUAGUUGCUACUCGCAAGAGAGCUCUCUAGAGAGACUGCCGGGGACAACCCGGAGGAAGGUGUGGAUGACGUCAAGUCCUCAUGGCCCUUACAUCCUGGGCUACACACGUGCUACAAUGGUCGGUACAAAGGGCAGCAAAACCGUGAGGUGGAGCGAAUCCUCAAAGCCGGCCUCAGUUCGGAUUGGAGUCUGCAACUCGACUCCAUGAAGCUGGAAUCGCUAGUAAUCGUGGGUCAGCAUACCACGGUGAAUACGUUCCCGGGCCUUGUACUCACCGCCCGU